rnacentral:tRNA from 1 species
GCCCCCGUAGCUCAGAUGGAGAGAGCGUCGGCCUACUAAGCUGAAGGACGCCGGUCCAAAUCCGGCCGGGGGCACCA